AUUGAACGCUGGCGGCAGGCCUAACACAUGCAAGUCGAACGGUAACAGGAAGAAGCUUGCUUCUUUGCUGACGAGUGGCGGACGGGUGAGUAAUGUCUGGGAAACUGCCUGAUGGAGGGGGAUAACUACUGGAAACGGUAGCUAAUACCGCAUAAUGUCGCAAGACCAAAGAGGGGGACCUUCGGGCCUCUUGCCAUCGGAUGUGCCCAGAUGGGAAUAGCUAGUAGGUGGGGUAACGGCUCACCUAGGCGACGAUCCCUAGCUGGUCUGAGAGGAUGACCAGCCACACUGGAACUGAGACACGGUCCAGACUCCUACGGGAGGCAGCAGUGGGGAAUAUUGCACAAUGGGCGCAAGCCUGAUGCAGCUAUGCCGCGUGUAGGAAGAAGGCCUUCGGGUUGUAAAGUACUUUCAGCGGGGAGGAAGGGAGUAAAGUUAAUACCUUUGCUCAUUGACGUUACCCGCAGAAGAAGCACCGGCUAACUCCGUG
rnacentral:rRNA from 1 species